UACAGGGGGUGCAAGCGUUGCUCGGAAUUAUUGGGCGUAAAGCGCGCGUAGGCGGCUACUUAAGUCGGAUGUGAAAGCCCCUGGCUCAACUGGGGAAGUGCACCCGAAACUGAGUAGCUAGAGUACGAAAGAGGGUCGCGGAAUUCCCGGUGAAGAGGUGAAAUUCGUAGAUAUCGGGAGGAACACCGGUGGCGAAGGCGGCGACCUGGGUCGAUACUGACGCUGAGGCGCGAAAGCGUGGGGAGCAAACAGG
rnacentral:rRNA from 1 species